CUAGAACAUAUGCUGCUGAGAUGAACGAAGAGUCUAGUAAAUAGAUGAUCUAAGAGAUCCCCAAAUGUUCAAAAUUUCUGAUAGAAAAAUACAUUCUGCCUUUGAAGAAGAAGAAUAUUACAUUUAUAUCAUACGACAAGGCCCCUGGAU